GACGUAGGGCGCGAGCGUUGUCCGGAUUUAUUGGGCGUAAAGAGCUCGUAGGCGGUUUGUCACGUCUGCUGUGAAAACUGGAGGCUCAACCUCCAGCUUGCAGUGGGUACGGGCAGACUAGAGUGCGGUAGGGGAGAUUGGAAUUCCUGGUGUAGCGGUGGAAUGCGCAGAUAUCAGGAGGAACACCAAUGGCGAAGGCAGAUCUCUGGGCCGUAACUGACGCUGAGGAGCGAAAGCAUGGGGAGCGAACAGG
rnacentral:rRNA from 1 species